UAAUUGUGUUCAGUCUUAGCUUUGGCUGCUUUUUAUUUAUCUGAUCCGCUUAAGGGUUCGGUUCAUGGUAAAUAAAAUAUUGGAAUUUCGGCCUCAAACCGAUUCGAUUCAAAAUUGGUUUUAUAGGUCUUGGACUGGGGCGCCACAGGAGCAGGAGCGGGAACGGGAUGGAGGAGGGGCAACAAUAGCUAUGCCAAGUGACGUCGCUGUUGUAGCCGAAGGCGUUACCCAAAAGCAAAAAAAAAAAACAGAAA